rnacentral:rRNA from 1 species
GAUGAACGCUGGCGGCGUGCCUAAUACAUGCAAGUCGAGCGAACAGACGAGGAGCUUGCUCCUCUGACGUUAGCGGCGGACGGGUGAGUAACACGUGGAUAACCUACCUAUAAGACUGGGAUAACUUCGGGAAACCGGAGCUAAUACCGGAUAAUAUAUUGAACCGCAUGGUUCAAUAGUGAAAGACGGUUUUGCUGUCACUUAUAGAUGGAUCCGCGCCGCAUUAGCUAGUUGGUAAGGUAACGGCUUACCAAGGCGACGAUGCGUAGCCGACCUGAGAGGGUGAUCGCCCACCCUGGAACUGGGACACGGUCCAGACUCCUACGGGAGGCAGCAGUAGGGAAUCUUCCGCAAAGGGCGAAAGCCUGACGGAGCAACGCCGCGUGAGUGAUGAAGGUCUUCGGAUCGUAAAACUCUGUUAUUAGGGAAGAACAAAUGUGUAAGUAACUAUGCACGUCUUGACGGUACCUAAUCAGAAAGCCACGGCUAACUACGUG